rnacentral:misc_RNA from 1 species
GAUGAAGAACGUAGCGAAAUGCGAUAAGUAAUGAGAAUUGCAGAAUUCAGUGAAUCAUCGAAUCUUUGAACGCACAUUGCGCCCAUUAGUAUUCUAGUGGGCAUGCCUGUUCGAGCGUCAUUAAGUCCACUUAAGCCCUGCUUAGUGUUGGGAGACUGCUCCAGCGGUGCUACCCUGUAGCUACCCUGCAGCUCCUCAAAGACAGCGGCGGAGUUGUGGUAUCCUCUGAGCUUAGUAACUUGUUCUAGCUUUCGAGUACACCACUUCCCCUGCCGUAAAACCCUUAAUUUUUAAUGGUUGACCUCGGAUCAGGUAGGAAUACCCGCUGAACUUAUGCAUAUCAAUAAGCGGAGGA